GACGAACGCUGGCGGCGUGCUUAACACAUGCAAGUCGAACGGAAAGGCCCUGCUUUUGUGGGGUGCUCGAGUGGCGAACGGGUGAGUAACACGUGAGUAACCUGCCCUUGACUUUGGGAUAACUUCAGGAAACUGGGGCUAAUACCGGAUAGGAGCUCCUGCUGCAUGGUGGGGGUUGGAAAGUUUCGGCGGUUGGGGAUGGACUCGCGGCUUAUCAGCUUGUUGGUGGUGUAGUGGCUUACCAAGGCUUUGACGGGUAGCCGGCCUGAGAGGGUGACCGGCCACAUUGGGACUGAGAUACGGCCCAGACUCCUACGGGAGGCAGCAGUGGGGAAUAUUGCACAAUGGGCGGAAGCCUGAUGCAGCAACGCCGCGUGCGGGAUGACGGCCUUCGGGUUGUAAACCGCUUUCGCCUGUGACGAAGCGUGAGUGACGGUAAUGGGUAAAGAAGCACCGGCUAACUACGUG
rnacentral:rRNA from 1 species